rnacentral:rRNA from 1 species
AUUGAACGCUGGCGGCAGGCCUAACACAUGCAAGUCGAGCGAGCGGCGGACGGGUGAGUAAUGCCUGGGAAUUGCCCAGUCGAGGGGGAUAACAGUUGGAAACGACUGCUAAUACCGCAUACUGUUGGAUUGCCCAGGCUGGCUUAGCUAUUUGGUGAGGUAAUGGCUCACCAAGGCGACGAACCCUAGCUGGUCUGAGAGGAUGAACAGCCAAACGAGAACUGAGACACGGUCCAGACGCCUACGGGAGGCAGCAGUGGGGAAUAUGGCACAAUGGGGGAAACCCUGAUGCAGCCAUGCCGCGUGUGGGAAGAAGGCCUGCGGGUUGUAAAGCACGUUCAGCGAGGAGGGGGUACUCGCAGAAGAAGCACCGGCUAACUCCGUGCCAGCCGCCGCGGUAAUAC